UGUUCCUUACCUUUUUUUGACUCAGUUUUCAAAUUUAUUUCUUUUUCUAACCAUCCAUUUUCACUCUCUUCUCUCAACUUCCAUCAUUGAUCAAACAGAGCAUCCACUGCGGGAUUGUCUUCUACCACUUAUAUGAAAAUUAUUCAGCACUAAUAAUUCUCUAGGAACUCUGUCAAUUUCAUUUUUCAAUCACCUUUAUUAAAUAAGAUUCCUCCGAUCAAAAUGAUUAUAUCGGUGGUGGAGAAGUUAGAGGCGACGGCAGAGAUGAUAAUCAGAGUUAUUAUCAUCGAUCGGUGGUGGAAAUGGUAUAGCCGACGAUGACGGUUUUAAAGCAAUUAGUGGUAUGAAAGAUAGAAAGUUAGAAGAGAAGUCGGAGACUGUUAAGGGUUCUAAGGAGGAUCAGAGGUCUACUGGUUCAGGCUCUAGCUUGACAUCUGGGGACGAUGAGCAAGGAGGGAAAAGAAGAAGAGGAGAUUGAAAGAGAAGAUAAAAGAGAGAUUUGUAGAAGGAAAGUACAAACAAGAGCAUGCUCACACUGUUAAAGACUGGUUCCCGGACUUCCACAAGGUAACGUCUUCAGCAAGAAAAUUCACAUGGAGCUGCUGAAACUGGUGCUGCAAUAUUCAAUUAAUUUGGCUAACUAAAUUUUUAAAACCUUUAACUGCAAUUGGAAUUUUUAUUAACGAACUAAGUGAAUUAUCCAGAACUUAUAUUAGAACUUUAACCAAAAUAGAUUGAUUAAUUUGGUUGAAGGCAACCACUGGUAAGUAGAAUGAAUGAAGAAUGUCUUUACGUACAUACACAGUACACAUCAUUUUGAUAAAGUUGAGAGUUUGAAACUAGUCUUGCAAAGUUGAAAGGGCCUUAUGAGCUUGUGGAGCAGCACCUUGUUGUGAUUGAGCAUACAUCAUUGUAGUGGAACCCAAUAUGUCAUAUCCAAAACCAAACGCUCCGAAAAACAACCUAAUCCAAACAUAUAAAACAUCAUUUGAGAAUCAAGGACUCUAGGUGCAUUAAUCAUGAAAGAAGGAAGCAAAUUACCUCUGAUAGGGCGGCCUAAUUUGAAUUCUAAAACAACUAUUAUGUCAAAAGCUUGCUUCUUUUUAUAAUUCGGUGAUGUAAGAAUAUUGUAUCAAACCUUGAUCUUAGAAAUUCAGAUAUUCAAUUAUUUAUUGCAACGUAGAUUGCAAGUUUGGGUGCGAA